GAUGAACGCUGGCGGCGUGCCUAAUACAUGCAAGUCGAACGCGCAGCGAGAGGUGCUUGCACCUUUCAAGCGAGUGGCGAACGGGUGAGUAACACGUGGAUAACCUGCCUCAAGGCUGGGGAUAACAUUUGGAAACAGAUGCUAAUACCGAAUAAAACUUAGUAUCGCAUGAUAUCAAGUUAAAAGGCGCUACGGCGUCACCUAGAGAUGGAUCCGCGGUGCAUUAGUUAGUUGGUGGGGUAAAGGCUUACCAAGACGAUGAUGCAUAGCCGAGUUGAGAGACUGAUCGGCCACAUUGGGACUGAGACACGGCCCAAACUCCUACGGGAGGCUGCAGUAGGGAAUCUUCCACAAUGGGCGCAAGCCUGAUGGAGCAACGCCGCGUGUGUGAUGAAGGCUUUCGGGUCGUAAAGCACUGUUGUAUGGGAAGAAAUGCUAAAAUAGGGAAUGAUUUUAGUUUGACGGUACCAUACCAGAAAGGGACGGCUAAAUACGUGCCAGCCGCCGCAGUAAAAC
rnacentral:rRNA from 1 species